rnacentral:rRNA from 1 species
UCCCGCAACGAGCGCAACCCUCACCGUAUGUUGCCAGCGUAAAGUCGGGAACUCUUACGGAACUGCCCGUGCAAGCGGGAGGAAGGUGGGGAUGACGUCAAGUCGGCAUGGCCCUUACACCUGGGGCUUCACACAUGCUACAAUGGGCGUCAACAGAGGGGUGCAAGGCCGCGAGGUCAAGCAAAUCCCAAAAAUACGUCCUCAGUUCGGAUUGCAGGCUGCAACUCGCCUGCAUGAAGCUGGAAUCGCUAGUAACCGCAGGUCAGCUAUACUGCGGUGAAUACGUUCCCGGGGUUUGUACACACCGCCCGUCAAGUCACCUGAAUUGUCUGCACCCGAAGCCGGUGGCCUAACCGUAAGGAAGGAGCCGUCUAAGGUGUGGGGAGUAAGGGGGACUAAGUCGUAACAAGGUACC